rnacentral:rRNA from 3 species
GUUUCCGUAGGUGAACCUGCGGAGGGAUCAUUACCGA